CCUACGGGUGGCAGCAGUGGGGAAUAUUGGACAAUGGGGGAAACCCUGAUGCAGCAACGCCGCGUGAGUGAAGAAGUAUUUCGGUAUGGAAAGCUUUAUUAGCAGGGAAGAGAAUGACGGUACGUGAGUAUGAAGCCCCGUCUAACGACGGGACACCAGCCGUGGCAAUAUGGAGGAGGCGAGGGUUAUCCGGAUUUACUGGGUGUAAAGGGGGCGUAGUGGGUUCUGCAAGUCCGAAGUGAAAGCUCGUGGCUCAACCGCGGAAGGAGUUUGGAAACUGUGGAACUGGAGUGCGGGAGAGGCAGGCGGAAUGCGUAGUGUAGCGGUGAAAUGCGUAGAUAUUAGGCAGAACACCGAUGGCGAAGGCAGCUUGCUGGACAAUAACUGACGUUGAGGCUCGAAAGCGUGGGGAGCAAACAGGAUUAGAUACCCGAGUAGUC
rnacentral:rRNA from 1 species